AGAAAAAACUGCAAAACCCUAGUUUAAUGCCAAUUUCUGUCUGCUGCAAUUGAAGAAGAUCAGCAAAUCAGUGUUCACAUCUUGCUUUCUGCUUUGUGUAAUGCUACCACCAGUUUUCUUCCCUCCGUUGGAGCUGAAAUGAAGAUUAAUUUGAUAAGCGGCGUAAAUUGACAGGUAACUCCACCACUCACUUUGUCAAUUUCUUAUUUGAGUUGAGAAGCACGUUAUAUCAUGAAUAAUUCCUCUGGUUGGAUUAGCUGUUAGUCGCUGCUUAUAUAGUUUAUUUUGGAGCUGUUAGUCGGUGUUGUUGUUAGAGCUGUUGAUAAAACUUGUUUUUGGAGCUUUUUAUUUUUAAUUGUCUGAUCACUUCUUAGCUAUAACAACAAAUCCGAACAGGGCAAGUUGCAUUUGUAACUAGCUGCUAACAAUUUAUGCUUAGUUGGAACUUUGGCUAAAAUUAUUGGGGGAAAAGUUACAGACUCAAAGCUACGAGACUGUUACUGAAUAUGCAUAAGUGAUGCACGACACUGAGAGUUCGACUUUGUCCCAAGUAGAAAAUCCGAGUAGGGAAGCCCCCAGGGACUUUAAGAGGGAAGUAUAGUAUCAUAUACCCUUUGAGAAUGGGUACUCGAACUAUAAAGCUUGUCCGCCCUAAACGAUCGGCAAAUAAGAGAAGGAGAAAGGACGACGAGAAACUUUCAUCCUAUGAGUGCUAUGUAUGAGAUGAUUAUGAAUUCAGAUGAAAGUUUGCAUUUCAUCUUUGAUAGGCGAGAAACGAAGCACUUAAUAAUUUUUUUAAUUAUUAAUUAUGUGUUCUUUCUCAAAUUUGUAGCUAAAAACUUUAAGAAUUGACUUAAUUGCUGUUGAGAGCCAAGAAAUUUUGGUUUGUAGUUUAAAAAAAUGUACCAUUCCAUGUCAAAAAAUAUUGUUUUGUUUUGUUAAUUCUAAAAGCUUUUAUUUAAUGCUAAA